UACGAAGGGUGCAAGCGUUACUCGGAAUUACUGGGCGUAAAGCGUGCGUAGGUGGUUUGUUAAGUCUGAUGUGAAAGCCCUGGGCUCAACCUGGGAAUUGCAUUGGAUACUGGCAGGCUAGAGUGCGGUAGAGGAUGGCGGAAUUCCCGGUGUAGCAGUGAAAUGCGUAGAGAUCGGGAGGAACAUCUGUGGCGAAGGCAGCCAUCUGGACCGACACUGACGCUGAGGCGCGAAAGCGUGGGGAGCAAACAGG
rnacentral:rRNA from 1 species